GGGGUUGUGGCUCAGUGGUAGAGCCUUUGCCUAGCAUGUAUGAGGCCCUGGGUUCGAUUCUCAGCACCA
rnacentral:tRNA from 1 species